rnacentral:rRNA from 1 species
GACGAACGCUGGCGGCGUGCCUAAGACAUGCAAGUCGAGCGGGGCUUCGGGGCUUCGGCCCUGAAGCCCAGCGGCGGACGGGUGAGUAACACGUGGAUAACCUGCCCUCUGCUCUGGGAUAACAGGCCGAAAGGCCUGCUAAUACCGGAUAAGCUCACGGCCCCGCAUGGGGCUGGGAGAAAAGGCGCUGGAGUCAGUGGCGCUGGCAGAGGAGGGGUCCGCGGCCCAUUAGCUGGUUGGCGGGGUAACGGCCCACCAAGGCGACGAUGGGUAGCCGGCCUGAGAGGGCGACCGGCCACACUGGGACUGAGACACGGCCCAGACUCCUACGGGAGGCAGCAGUCGGGAAUUUUGCACAAUGGCCGAAAGGCUGAUGCAGCAACGCCGCGUGAGCGAAGAAGGCCUUCGGGUUGUAAAGCUCUGUUGCCUGCGAAGAAGGGCCCCGUCAGGAAAUGGGCGGGGUUUGACGGUAGCAGGCGAGGAAGCCCCGGCAAACUACGUGCCAGCAGCCGCGGUAAUACGUAGGGGGCGAGCGUUGUCCGGAAUUACUGGGCGUAAAGGGCGUGUAGGCGGCCUGUUAAGUCAGGGGUGAAAGACCGGGGCUCAACCCCGGGGGUGCCUCUGAAACUGGCGGGCUUGAGUGCUCUAGAGGGCAGUGGAAUUCCCGGUGUAGCAGUGAAAUGCGUAGAGAUCGGGAGGAACACCAGUGGCGAAGGCGGCUGCCUGGGGAGUCACUGACGCUGAGGCGCGAAAGCUAGGGGAGCAAACAGGAUUAGAUACCCUGGUAGUCCUAGCCGUAAACGAUGAGUGCUAUGUGUGAGGGGUAUCGACCCCCCUCGUGCAGGAGCUAACGCACUAAGCACUCCGCCUGGGGAGUACGGCCGCAAGGUUGA